UGUGUUUGUGUGUGUGUGUUUGUGUGUGUGUGUGUGUGUGUGAUACACACACACACACACACACACACACACACU
rnacentral:miRNA from 1 species